AGUUGUAGAAUCACUGGUGAAUAAGGGGUGGGCAAGUUCUGGUGUCAGCCGCCGCGGUAAAACCAGCACCUCGAGUGGUCAGGAGGUUUAUUGGGCCUAAAGCAUCCGUAGCCGGUUGCAUAAGUUUUCGGUUAAAUCUAUGCGCUUAACGUAUAGGCCGCCGAAAAUACUGUGCAGCUAGGGAGUGGGAGAGGUACACGGUACUCGAUAGGAAGGGGUAAAAUCCUUUGAUCUAUUGAUGACCACCUGUGGCGAAGGCGGUGUACCAGAACACGUUCGACGGUGAGGGAUGAAAGCUGGGGGAGCAAACCGGAUUAGAUACCCGGGUAGUCCCAGCUGUAAGCGAUGCAGACUCGGUGAUGCAUUGGCUUGUGGCCAAUGCAGUGCCGCAGGGAAGCCGUUAAGUCUGCCGCCUGGGAAGUACGUACGCAAGUAUGAAACUUAAAGGAAUUGGCGGGGGAGCACCACAAGGGGUGAAGCCUGCGGUUCAAUUGGAGUCAACGCCAGAAAUCUUACCUGGGGAGACAGCAGAAUGAAGGUCAAGCUGAAGACUUUACCAGACACGCUGAGAGGUGGUGCAUGGCCGUCGCCAGCUCGUGCCGUGAGAUGUCCUGUUAAGUCAGGUAACGAGCGAGACCCCUGCGUCUAGUUGCUACCAUUACUCUCUGGAGCAGUGGAGCGAAUUAGACGGACCGCCACAGUUAAUGUGGAGGAAGGAAGGGGCCACGGCAGGUCAGUAUGCCCCGAAACCCUAGGGCUACACGCGGGCUGCAAUGGUAUUGACAUGUGUUCCGAAUCCGAAAGGAGGAGGCAAUCAUCAAACAAUAUCUCAGUAUUGACUUGAGGG
rnacentral:rRNA from 1 species